rnacentral:rRNA from 1 species
UACGGAGGGUGCAAGCGUUGUCCGGAUUUAUUGGGUUUAAAGGGUGCGUAGGCGGCCCGGUAAGUCAGUGGUGAAAGCCUCCAGCUCAACUGGAGAACUGCCAUUGAUACUGCCGGGCUUGAGUACAGACGAGGUUGGCGGAAUUGAUUGUGUAGCGGUGAAAUGCAUAGAUACAAUCAAGAACUCCGAUUGCGUAGGCAGCUAACUAGGCUGUAACUAACGCUGAGGCACGAAAGCGUGGGGAGCGAACAGG